AUAUGUAAUUAUUUUACCACAAUAUGACAUAUACCUAUAAUAUUAACAAAGCAUCACUAUCAACUGAACUCCGCUCAGAAUCAUUUUUUCGUAAGCAAUGGUAUAUCGUCGCUCACAGAUUUACACUGUCCGUGAUAGCUGUAAGUCCAGUAAACGAGCACUAUCGCGUUCCGCAGUCGGUUUUGCUCAUCAGCCGUCAGGUCGGGCACCGCAGUGUCUAGGUUACGACCCCCUAAACUCACCCACCUACCCUUCAUAGGAGAGGAGAACGGCGAAACAGUAACCGGUCGUCGGCAAGCAAAAGGCCGGCGGCCAGCUAGUGUGGGAACACCGUUUUCGCGGAGACAUGGCAGCCGUGUACGCCGCGGACCCAUUACAAAAAAUAGAACAUUAAUUUGUCUACUCUUAGUCACUUAGUUCAAUUAUUUUUAUUUUUAUUUAUUUUACACCAAUAAACUACUCUUAUCUUGUUGUGAAACCUGAAAUUUGCGUUAUUUGUCUACAACAAUUUUGCCCGCAUGCGUGUUAGUUUGCACCACCAGCUACAAAACCGGAACAAGGUGACACGAACGGAUACCACUGCUGAGGACCAGUGUCGCACCGUGUCACUGAUGUACAUUAAAUUCUCUUCUUUAUCCUACCUUCCCAAAUUCUCACUUACACCAGCAGCCUACCCAUCGUGAUAAACAUGUCUUUUUUUUUUUUUUUUAAUAAGGCUUUUGAAUUUUUAUUUUUAGUUUUCAAAAUUGCAAAUAUAUAAGUAAUACACAUUGAUAAGCGAGAAGAUUUAAGCUAUACAGUUAUUGUUUUUUUUAAGAGCAUUUAGAAAAACGAUAAAUCAUUAAAUUCAAUCGAAGGUUUUGAAUAGAGCUGUAGGGAAUUUAAACUUUGACAUGUGCUUGAUAAUUUUUACGUGAUUACUAUUAUUAUUUUUUUUUUAUCGAAGUCAUUGAAUUGAAGACAUUUCGGAUAAUAGGGUUUUUGAGUAUUUGCUGUAUUCAAUUAUACCUGUCCAAAAAUGAUGAUGGAAAGUAUAUAGAAGUUGUGGGGGUUUUAAACGCAUUAACCAAAAAUUAUUUUUCUUGAAUAACGCGGAGACUAAAAAUGAAUAAAAACUAAUUAACUUCCUACA